UUAAGGCGACGACCGGCGCACGGGUGAGUAACGCGUAUGCAACCUACCAUUAACUGGGGAAUAGCCCGGAGAAAUUCGGAUUAAUGCCCCAUAACAUUUUUCUAAUACCUAUUAGAAUCAUUAAAGCUCCGGCGGUUAAAGAUGGGCAUGCGUGACAUUAGAUAGUUGGUAAGGUAACGGCUUACCAAGUCAGCGAUGUCUAGGGGGCCUGAGAGGGUAAUCCCCCACACUGGUACUGAGACACGGACCAGACUCCUACGGGAGGCAGCAGUGAGGAAUAUUGGGCAAUGGAGGCAACUCUGACCCAGCCAUGCCGCGUGCAGGAAGACGGCUCUACGAGUUGUAAACUGCUUUUACACGGGAAUAAACUUCACUACGUGUAGUGAACUGAAUGUACCGUAUGAAUAAGCACCGGCUAACUCCGUGCCAGCAGCCGCGGUAAUACGGAGGGUGCAAGCGUUAUCCGGAUUUAUUGGGUUUAAAGGGUGCGUAGGCGGAAAUAUAAGUCAGUGGUGAAAUCUUGCAGCUUAACUGUAAAACUGCCAUUGAUACUGUGUUUCUUGAGUAUAGUUGAGGUAGGCGGAAUGUGUAAUGUAGCGGUGAAAUGCUUAGAUAUUACACAGAACACCGAUUGCGUAGGCAGCUUACUAAACUAUAACUGGCGCUGAGGCACGAAAGCGUGG
rnacentral:rRNA from 1 species